GACGAACGCUGGCGGCGUGCCUAAUACAUGCAAGUAGAACGCUGAAGGAGGAGCUUGCUUCUCUGGAUGAGUUGCGAACGGGUGAGUAACGCGUAGGUAACCUGCCUGGUAGCGGGGGAUAACUAUUGGAAACGAUAGCUAAUACCGCAUAAUAGUAGAUGUUGCAUGACAUUUGCUUAAAAGGUGCAAUUGCAUCACUACCAGAUGGACCUGCGUUGUAUUAGCUAGUUGGUGGGGUAACGGCUCACCAAGGCGACGAUACAUAGCCGACCUGAGAGGGGGAUCGGCCACACUGGGACUGAGACACGGCCCAGACUCCUACGGGAGGCAGCAGUAGGGAAUCUUCGGCAAUGGACGGAAGUCUGACCGAGCAACGCCGCGUGAGUGAAGAAGGUUUUCGGAUCGUAAAGCUCUGUUGUAAGAGAAGAACGAGUGUGAGAGUGGAAAGUUCGCACUGUGACGGUAUCUUACCAGAAAGGGACGGCUAACUACGUG
rnacentral:rRNA from 1 species